GCUUGCACAAUAUUUUAGAGCAAACGAUUCGUAAUCGUUAGGUUACCGGUUCAAUCCCGGUCAUCGGCUCCA
rnacentral:tRNA from 1 species